AAUCAACGCUGGCGGCUUGCCUCAGACAUGCAAGUCGAACGAUUAAAGCUCCCUUCGGGGAGUGCAUAAAGUGGCGCACGGGUGAGUAACACGUAAGUAAUCUACCCUCGAGUGGGGAAUAACGUCCGGAAACGGACGCUAAUACCGCAUAAUGCAGCGGCACCGCAAGGUGACAGUUGUUAAAGAUUUAUCGCUUGAGGAGGAGCUUGCGGCAGAUUAGCUAGUUGGUAAGGUAAUGGCUUACCAAGGCCGCGAUCUGUAACCGGUCUAAGAGGACGGUCGGUCACACUGACACUGAAUAACGGGUCAGACUCCUACGGGAGGCAGCAGUCGGGAAUUUUGGGCAAUGGGCGAAAGCCUGACCCAGCAACGCCGCGUGAAGGAUGAAGUAUUUCGGUAUGUAAACUUCGGAAGAAUGGGAAGAAUAAAUGACGGUACCAUUUAUAAGCUCCGGCUAACUACGUGCCAGCCGCCGCCGUAAGAC
rnacentral:rRNA from 1 species